GAUGAACGCUGGCGGCGUGCCUAAUACAUGCAAGUCGAGCGAACAGACGAGGAGCUUGCUCCUCUGACGUUAGCGGCGGACGGGUGAGUAACACGUGGAUAACCUACCUAUAAGACUGGGAUAACUUCGGGAAACCGGAGCUAAUACCGGAUAAUAUAUUGAACCGCAUGGUUCAAUAGUGAAAGACGGUUUUGCUGUCACUUAUAGAUGGAUCCGCGCCGCAUUAGCUAGUUGGUAAGGUAACGGCUUACCAAGGCAACGAUGCGUAGCCGACCUGAGAGGGUGAUCGGCCACACUGGAACUGAGACACGGUCCAGACUCCUACGGGAGGCAGCAGUAGGGAAUCUUCCGCAAUGGGCGAAAGCCUGACGGAGCAACGCCGCGUGAGUGAUGAAGGUCUUCGGAUCGUAAAACUCUGUUACUAGGGAAGAACAAAUGUGUAAGUAACUCUGCACGUCUUGACGGUACCUAAUCAGAAAGCCACGGCUAACUACGUG
rnacentral:rRNA from 1 species